rnacentral:rRNA from 1 species
UGGGGAAUUUUGGACAAUGGGCGCAAGCCUGAUCCAGCCAUGCCGCGUGAGUGAAGAAGGCCUUCGGGUUGUAAAGCUCUUUCGGUGGGGAAGAAAUGGCACGAGCGAAUAACUGGUGUCGAUGACGGUACCCAAAGAAGAAGCACCGGCUAACUACGUGCCAGCAGCCGCGGUAAUACGUAGGGUGCGAGCGUUAAUCGGAAUUACUGGGCGUAAAGCGUGCGCAGGCGGUUGGGUAAGUCAGAUGUGAAAGCCCCGGGCUCAACCUGGGAACGGCAUUUGAGACUGCCCAGCUGGAGUGUGGCAGAGGGGGGUGGAAUUCCACGUGUAGCAGUGAAAUGCGUAGAGAUGUGGAGGAACACCGAUGGCGAAGGCAGCCCCCUGGGCCACGACUGACGCUCAUGCACGAAAGCGUGGGGAGCAAACA